AUAUCAAAAAGUUACGCACUAAAGCUUUAAAAGUGAAAACAUUCUGGUUGAAACAACAAAUAUGUAAGAUAAACAGAUUUACGUUAGAGCUGUCUGAUUUGACAUUUUUCCCUGUCAUACUAAUACUUGGACUAACAAAGCUAGCUCCAUGCAAAACAAGGACCAAUGCUGCUUCUUUAGGAUGCUGACUUUCUGCCAUGUUAGCCUCAGUGUUUUGACAAAAUAUACUGUAUGUAGCCAUAAGAUGGAAAAAGACUUUUGUAAGUUGUAAGAUAAAUCGAGGACACAUAAAAAAAGUCCUAAACCUUUAAACUGAUGUUAGCUUAAUAAGCUAGGUAGAUAUGGCUGAUGUUGUUAUUUCAGCCAGCAAAACCGACAGUCCCGACUAGAAAUGAGAAGCAGCAUUUGUCUAGUAUAAUUAAUAAAAAAAUAAUGUUUGAGUUGUAAUGUUAACAUUGUACUGUAAGUGCUAUGCGACAACGGAAAGCUUGACAGACGUAGAAGCUGCUGGGCUUAGUGAACGGUAAAUUCACAUUUUAAAAAACCCGCCUUGCAUGCAAACCGCACACUGCAUUUUCAAAUGGAGCGAUGUUCGGGCUGUGCCCUCCCGUGCCUACUGAACUGGUAUCAGUGUUUUACCUAAAAACUGGCUCAGUUCAGCAGGAACAGGAGUGAAGUCCGCUGUCAGCGGGAUCUCUGUCCUGUCUCACCAUCUUCCACUGAACAUGCAGCAAGACAGCCCAACCCAGAUUCAACACUUCUUUUGCAAUGCUCUCAUGUUAAGUUGACCACACCCAGCACAGAGCGGUGUGGGUAAUAUGCCUCGAGUCAUUGGCCCUGAUGAAAAUCAAACCCGAGCCCUCCAACCUGUCAGACGAUGGCACUGAACCCUGAAGUGCAUGCAAGGCGGUGCAGCUCAAGUUUUAGAUGACCGUCCCCUUUCUUUGCUUAAACAUGAAUGUUUCAUGAGCAGAUUUACCAUUUAUGCUUGAUAGGUAGGCCCUGGCGUCCAGAGCCGUUGUGUUAAUACUGUUACAUACUGAUGCUGUUGAUCUUGUUGUUUUGCUCAGCCUUCAUGUUUAUUUCAGCAUUCUUCCCUUGAAAAAGCUGCAAACACGGCUCACUCUUUGCCAAUGCCAUGUCUCUCUCUUUUUUCUGUCUCUCUGUGCUGUCAAAGGCCACACUGACACUGGAGUUCAUUGUCAGAUAACCCGCAGCCACCAAAGGAAAAGUGCUUCAUCUUGAAGAUUUCAUAUCCACAGGAAAAUUAAUGUUCAUUAGCAAGCAUGAUGAAUCUGCUCUUAUCCGGCAACUCCACUGAUCGUGGUUUUGGCGAUCAUAAAAUUAUAUUUCUGUUACUUUUGAAUGUUUCUUUCAAACCUUGAGGAGAUAUCUUAGCAAGUUGUUUUUUCAUUGUGUCAGCGAUUUGAUAUUGUCUUCAGGGCAUUGUUCCAGCCAAGUCGUACCACUGAAAAGUUUGCUAUGAUUUGUGUUUAAUCAUUUAAUCUACCUAAAUGUGGACGACAACGGUGCAUGAAGUGCAUUAUUCUAAAUGUCAGUAAGUUUCUAACUACUUUCAUUGUGGAGCCUAAUUUAUUGUAAUGUUACACGUGCAACCAAUAUUUCAUUUCAUUACUAAUCCAGCCACGAUUUAAUGUAAUAAAGUUUAAAUGAACUGAAAA